UGAUUAUGGCUCAGGAUGAACGCUAGCUACAGGCUUAACACAUGCAAGUCGAGGGGGCGAGCAUGAACUUAGCUUGCUAAGUUUGAUGGCGACCGGCGCACGGGUGAGUAACACGUAUCCAACCUGCCGAUGACUCGGGGAUAGCCUUUCGAAAGAAAGAUUAAUACCCGAUGGCAUAGUUCUUCGCAUGGUAGAACUAUUAAAGAAUUUCGGUCAUCGAUGGGGAUGCGUUCCAUUAGGUUG
rnacentral:rRNA from 1 species